GCUGCAGAGAUUGCAAGACUUGUUGGAUUGCACUUGAUGUGCUUUGAAUUGGUUGCAAUAAGGGAGUCUCUUGAGGGAUUUCUGAUAUUUGGGAUGUUGGAAUAUUAAACAAAAAAGGAGAGCUAUCUGGGCUAUCCAUGGAUAGUGAUCUCAAUGAAGAGGAAGAUGAUGAAGGCCGGUUUGGAUCAACCGCCUGGGAAAGUUCUCUCAGUGGAGAUUGCUGAUGAGGAAUGUCUUCUGGAAACAAACUCCUCAUCGCGUUUUCCAUGUUAAUUUGAGUCAUCCCAUUAGACCAGCCCAUUUCAAUUUCUCCGCUCC
rnacentral:misc_RNA from 1 species